UACGUAGGGACCAAGCGUUGUCCGGAAUCAUUGGGCGUAAAGCGCGCGUAGGUGGCUUCGUAAGUCCGUUGUGAAAGUCAAAGGCUCAACCUUUGAAAGCCGAUGGAUACUGUGGAGCUAGAGUACGGAAGAGGCGAGUGGAAUUCCUGGUGUAGCGGUGGAAUGCGCAGAUAUCAGGAGGAACACCAAUAGCGAAGGCAGCUCGCUGGGACGUUACUGACACUAAGGCGCGAAAGCGUGGGGAGCGAACAGG
rnacentral:rRNA from 1 species